rnacentral:rRNA from 1 species
CCUACGGGAGGCAGCAGUGGGGAAUAUUGGACAAUGGGGGAAACCCUGAUCCAGCAAUGCCGCGUGAGUGAUGAAGGCCUUAGGGUUGUAAAGCUCUUUCGGCGGGGACGAUGAUGACGGUACCCGCAGAAGAAGCCCCGGCUAACUUCGUGCCAGCAGCCGCGGUAAUACGAAGGGGGCAAGCGUUGUUCGGAAUUACUGGGCGUAAAGGGCGCGCAGGCGGCCGACGUAGUCAGGCGUGAAAGCCCCGGGCUUAACCUGGGAAUUGCGUUUGAUACUCGUUGGCUGGAGUUCGGGAGAGGAUGGUGGAAUUCCCAGUGUAGAGGUGAAAUUCGUAGAUAUUGGGAAGAACACCGGUGGCGAAGGCGGCCAUCUGGACCGAAACUGACGCUGAGGCGCGAAAGCGUGGGGAGCAAACAGGAUUAGAUACCCUGGUAGUCCACGCCGUAAACGAUGUGUGCUAGACGUUGGCGGGCCUAGCCUGCCAGUGUCGCAGCUAACGCGUUAAGCACACCGCCUGGGGAGUACGGCCGCAAGGUUAAAACUCAAAGGAAUUGACGG